UGUGACCCAGGGAAGAAUAAAGGGCCAGUCUCCAAAAUGGCAACUGGAGGCUGAGAUCUGGGCUCGGAGGCCGGAGUGUCUCCUUGCCGGUGGUGACGGCCAUCGUCGGCGACUCGGGCGCUGCUACCUGGUCACAAUUGGUGGGAAAGCCUUUGUUAAGCGUCUAGCGCCAGGCCUGCUCACAGCACCCGCUCAGAAGCCGGACACUGCCCUCCCUUCCUUCAGGAAAUGAGUCUGGCACAAAGGGGCCGCGUCUAGAAGUCCUCCUCGAGUCGCAAGCAGCGCUGGCCCCUUCUCUGACUGCCUUGCGCUUUGUGAUGCCUGCUGCCGGAAAAACUCUUCUUCAGAUGGUGGGGAGCUCAAAUGUGGGUUUGAAUGCCUCCCCAGCUGUGUGAACCUGGGCCUUAGUGUUCUCAACUGUGCAAUGGGCACCAACAGACUCAAUCCCAUGGAUCUGCAGUGAAAAUAAAACGAGAUACCCCGUGGCAGUCUUGGUGUUGCAGAAUGAACAUUCUAAUUCCCCCACAAUGUGUUUCCAACCCAGCCACGGUCCCCCUGCCAGACUUCGCAGCCCGCCUUUCCCUGCUGAGCUGCACUGUCUCUGGCCGGCUGGGGCUGACAUCUGCCAGAAAAGCAGACCACCUUCUUGGAUUUUCCGUUUGCAGCUGGGAGGGUGGCUGGCAGAGCAAAUUACAAAGCAGGCCCCGGUUCCAGCUCCUGCUCGGGCAGGGCAGGCCCCUCCUGUGUGGCGACAGCUGCCAGGAGCUGGCCGGAGAGGGGCUUGGAGCAGCAGGGUGCGCGGCGCACGGAGGAGCCAGCAAGUGCCCGGGGCCGGUGAGGAUGGCAGGGAAGGCGUACCCAGGCCCACAGGGGGCUCCAGGCAACCUGGAAGGACGAAGGCGAGCGGGUCCUUUCUCCGGGACGUCGGGCAGGUUCUUCUACCUUUCAGACUCAGUUUCCUCUCUGUAAAAUAGAAACAAAAGUAGGUCCAUAGACCCUUAGCUGACAUGCCUGGGGCCAAAUGUGGUUUGGAAAUCAGAAUUGUUCAGAUUUUUAGAAAGUAAGGUGCAGGGACGCCUGGGUGGCUCCGUGGUUGAGCCUCUGCC